rnacentral:rRNA from 1 species
CCUACGGGCGGCAGCAGUGAGGAAUAUUGGUCAAUGGACGCAAGUCUGAACCAGCCAUGCCGCGUGCAGGAAGACGGCUCUAUGAGUUGUAAACUUCUUUUGUACGGGGAUAAACGCAGGUACGCGUACCGGUCUGAAAGUAUCUUACGAAUAAGGAUCGGCUAACUCCGUGCCAGCAGCCGCGGUAAUACGGAGGAUUCAAGCGUUAUCCGGAUUUAUUGGGGUUAAAGGGUGCGUAGGCGGUCGGUUAAGUUAGAGGUGAAAUCCCGAGGCUCAACCUCGGACUUGCCGUUGAUACUGUCAGGCUCGAGAGUAGUAGAGGUAGGCGGAAUGCAUGGUGUAGCGGUGAAAUGCUUAGAGAUCAUGCAGAACACCGAUUGCGAAGGCAGCUUGCCAGGCU